CCAUUCAAAACCCCAUUCGCGGUGCUCGUCACUCUGAAUUCCGCCGAAAGUCCCUCUCCUACCCGGAAGUCCCGCCCCACCCCUAUCGCCAAGGCUUCCUUCUCUGCCAUUGGCCGCGGCAAUUUAUUGCGCUUUUUAAAAAUAUUCUUUUCUUCCGGAUUUUUGUUCGGUUUUUCUCGGGUUCGGGUCCCGGAUGGGCACGCGGCGUGCGAAGCCGCAGGCCUCGCACCCGAGUCCCCUGCAUGGGGCGGGAUGGCGCCUGACAUGGUGACAGACACGCGGGACCCAGACAUGACCCCAAGGGUCUCGGUGCCAGUGUCAUCGUAGCAUCACCUGUGGCAUGUGCUGACAUGUGUUGUCUGUGAAAGGUGACCGCCGGGUGUUCAUUCACACGGGCUGUGCUUGUGCUGUCAUCGGGCAACAUCGCCAUCUCGACAUCAUCACAAUCAUUGUGUGACAUCACCGUGACCAUGGCAUGACAUCACUGCAUGUUAUGUCGGUCAUUCUUCCACAUAGGUGACGUAGGUUCCCAUGUUCCACAUGUGUCACUGUCUGUUUUUUCACAUUUCACAGAUUCACACAUUUUCUCAUGUGUUUUACACACUCAUCCUGGUUUAUCGUUUAUUUCCACAUACAGACCGGUGUGCAAGUCGCGCUUUAGCCUGGUUGUUAUGCUUGUGGACCUUCAUCAUGCGUGUACGUGGCUGUUUCCGUUUUUUUCCCCACAAUUUAGAGAUGCAAAACAAUUUAUGUGUUCGUAUGUUUUAUGUGUUCAUCAUGGGUGAUUUUGAUUUUCCGGAUCUCAUCCAUUCCAUGUGUGUUUGCAUGGAGCCGCCUUCUGAUGGUCUGCACCCAUUCAUUUACUUUCCGUGUGUUUUCUACACGCGUCGUUAGCUCCUGGUUUGUAAUAAUUCCCUAUCACAGGUACAUCUGUAUGUUCUGCCGUGUUUAUUCAGUUCAUGUAUUAAAAUCGCUCGAUUCUCUGUUUUUGUUUCCCGCAUGUUUUCAUGACACGCAACCGAUCGCUCGACCUUGCUCAUGUGUUCUCUCCGUGUAAAGCACUUAUUUCCAUUUCCUGCGUGUCCAUCAGUUUUUUCCCCUGCAUUUCACGUGUGUACAGUGGUGAGGUUGUUUUCCAUGUACCGAAUGUGCUCUGUGUGUGGCUCGUGUUUGUAUCGCGUUUGCACGCGUGUGAGCAUGGGAAGUCCCCACGUGGACUCAAGUGAGUUCUGCUCACAUGUGUUGACCUGGGAUCCACUGUGCCAUAAGCUCACGGGCAUGGACACAGGCUCUGAUGUCACACGUUUGCUGGUGGGGUGGGGCACCAUGUGACAUCAUUCCUUGUGUUCUGUGAUGCCACUCCUGUUUCUAUGGCUCCCAUGACUUCCUUUCCCGUGUCCCGUGUCAUUCCCAAUCCCGUGUUCCCCGCAGGCUACCGUGCCAUGACAUGGGCAGUGCCUUAGAGCCACGCUCAUGGUGAUGUCGCUGAACACGGAUGUCAGGGCCAACUGGCUACCGAGGAUGCUGGGAGCGAGUGGUGGGCUCGGCCAUGAUUGACAGCUCCGCAGACCAACCCUGUGCGGGCCCACCAUGAUGAGGCCCCACCCACCCGGCGGCGCCGUCAUGCGUGUGCUCGCCUGCCUCUGCCCUGGAUCCCACCCCUAUCAUGCAUGAUCAUGUGUGUCCCCCCGUCACUGCCCCCAUUGCCUUGUGACGGCUGGUGUGUUGCAUGUGGGUGGUGUGUUGAGUGUGGGCAUUGGCGGUGAGCAUGCAGUACAGGAAGCUGCGUGGUCUGCAUGCGCCCCUGCUGGGCCCCUUAAAGCAGUUCCUGGGUGUCAUCAACACAUAGUUAAAUAGACAACAUAUUGUCUUAUUUCAUUCCCCAUAAUAAUAAUGAAUAUUAUGAAAUGAAAGUACUGCUAUGCAGCAGUGUCUCUCAGCUACAUCGUCAGCAAAGAAUGCAGAUAUUGCAAUGCUUAUUCAACAUAAUUAAUAUAGUCUGUCAAUAAAUGGCCGACAUUGUCCUAA